rnacentral:rRNA from 1 species
GAUGAACGCUGGCGGCGUGCUUAACACAUGCAAGUCGAACGAUGAAGCCCAGCUUGCUGGGUGGAUUAGUGGCGAACGGGUGAGUAACACGUGAGUAACCUGCCCUUAACUCUGGGAUAAGCCUGGGAAACUGGGUCUAAUACCGGAUAGGAGCGUCCACCGCAUGGUGGGUGUUGGAAAGAUUUAUCGGUUUUGGAUGGACUCGCGGCCUAUCAGCUUGUUGGUGAGGUAAUGGCUCACCAAGGCGACGACGGGUAGCCGGCCUGAGAGGGUGACCGGCCACACUGGGACUGAGACACGGCCCAGACUCCUACGGGAGGCAGCAGUAGGGAAUCUUCCGCAAUGGGCGAAAGCCUGACGGAGCAACGCCGCGUGAGUGAAGAAGGUCUUCGGAUCGUAAAACUCUGUUAUUAGGGAAGAACAAAUGUGUAAGUAACUAUGCACGUCUUGACGGUACCUAAUCAGAAAGCCACGGCUAACUACGUG